GACGUACCGGGAAAAUCUUAUCUGAUUCUAAAUCAAUUCAUCGGUUACACUCCCCUGUCACCAGUGAUCCUUUUUUGCUGACAUUCUGAAAAAGUAUUGUGUAGUCCCUGUGGCAAGAACAUUAAAGAUAAAGGGGAAACUAUAAACAGAAGAAAUUAUCAACAAAAUAAGAUUUACAGAGGUCAACAAAGCCUAAAUGGUCAGACAUCUUGAUUUUCAUGGUCAUCAUUCACAGAUCAAUACUGAACAGAAAACUUAAAGCUGAUAUUUUUCUCCAUAUUGCGACUUUUUUAUUAAUUUGAAAUGGAACGUGUUUUUUCCUACAUUUAUUUGAAAGAGGAAAUUUCAACAUGAUGACUAUAAACAAAAAGGAGUCAUAUCAUCACGAUCAUUGAUGCACAAGAACUUGAUCAUAUAAAUACGACAAUGUAAUUAUCAAUUGAAAGAUGGAAGGAAUGAACAAAAUAUUAGAAUGUUGUUGUCCAAAUAAACUUGCUUUGUUUUCUCAUUUGAAUCUCUCCAUUCAAUAAAGAUGUACAGAGGAAGAUCUUUGAAGAACAGAUUGAAAAAAUGUUUUGUCUAAGAAUUGCAGGAAUAUUCUAGUGAAUGAAAUUAUUUAUUGACUUCACUCUUAUAUAGUGGACUGAAUAAUUGUACAUAGCAAGUUGUGAUUAAAGAAAACAAAAACUUUAACAAAAAGUGUUUAUAUUAUAAAUUUGCAAAUAUAAGCAU